CUGGCUCAGGACGAACGCUGGCGGCGUGCCUAAUACAUGCAAGUAGAACGCAUAGGAUGCACCGUAGUUUACUACACCGUAUCCUGUGAGUUGCGAACGGGUGAGUAACGCGUAGGUAACCUGCCUGGUAGCGGGGGAUAACUAUUGGAAACGAUAGCUAAUACCGCAUAAGAACAUUUACUGCAUGGUAGAUGUUUAAAAGGUGCAAGAGCAUCACUACCAGAUGGACCUGCGUUGUAUUAGCUAGUUGGUGAGGUAACGGCUCACCAAGGCAACGAUACAUAGCCGACCUGAGAGGGUGAUCGGCCACACUGGGACUGAGACACGGCCCAGACUCCUACGGGAGGCAGCAGUAGGGAAUCUUCGGCAAUGGGGGGAACCCUGACCGAGCAACGCCGCGUGAGUGAAGAAGGUUUUCGGAUCGUAAAGCUCUGUUGUUAAGGAAGAACGUGUGUGAGAGUGGAAAGUUCACACAGUGACGGUACUUAACCAGAAAGGGACGGCUAACUACGUGCCAGCAGCCGCGGUAAUACGUAGGUCCCGAGCGUUGUCCGGAUUUAUUGGGCGUAAAGCGAGCGCAGGCGGUUAGAUAAGUCUGAAGUGAAAGGCAGUGGCUCAACCAUUGUAGGCUUUGGAAACUGUUUAACUUGAGUGCAGAAGGGGAGAGUGGAAUUCCAUGUGUAGCGGUGAAAUGCGUAGAUAUAUGGAGGAACACCGGUGGCGAAAGCGGCUCUCUGGUCUGUAACUGACGCUGAGGCUCGAAAGCGUGGGGAGCGAACAGGAUUAGAUACCCUGGUAGUCCACGCCGUAAACGAUGAGUGCUAGGUGUUAGGUCCUUUCCGGGACUUAGUGCCGCAGCUAACGCAUUAAGCACUCCGCCUGGGGAGUACGA
rnacentral:rRNA from 1 species